rnacentral:rRNA from 1 species
GAAGGUGUGCUGUGAGGCAUGCUGGAGGUAUCAGAAGUGCGAAUGCUGACAUAAGUAACGAUAAAGCGGGUGAAAAGCCCGCUCGCCGGAAGACCAAGGGUUCCUGUCCAACGUUAAUCGGGGCAGGGUGAGUCGACCCCUAAGGCGAGGCCGAAAGGCGUAGUCGAUGGGAAACAGGUUAAUAUUCCUGUACUUGGUGUUACUGCGAAGGGGGGACGGAGAAGGCUAUGUUGGCCGGGCGACGGUUGUCCCGGUUUAAGCGUGUAGGCUGGUUUUCCAGGCAAAUCCGGAAAAUCAAGGCUGAGGCGUGAUGACGAGGCACUACGGUGCUGAAGCAACAAAUGCCCUGCUUCCAGGAAAAGCCUCUAAGCAUCAGGUAACAUCAAAUCGUACCCCAAACCGACACAGGUGGUCAGGUAGAGAAUACCAAGGCGCUUGAGAGAACUCGGGUGAAGGAACUAGGCAAAAUGGUGCCGUAACUUCGGGAGAAGGCACGCUGAUAUGUAGGUGAAGUCCCUCGCGGAUGGAGCUGAAAUCAGUCGAAGAUACCAGCUGGCUGCAACUGUUUAUUAAAAACACAGCACUGUGCAAACACGAAAGUGGACGUAUACGGUGUGACGCCUGCCCGGUGCCGGAAGGUUAAUUGAUGGGGUUAGCGCAAGCGAAGCUCUUGAUCGAAGCCCCGGUAAACGGCGGCCGUAACUAUAACGGUCCUAAGGUAGCGAAAUUCCUUGUCGGGUAAGUUCCGACCUGCACGAAUGGCGUAAUGAUGGCCAGGCUGUCUCCACCCGAGACUCAGUGAAAUUGAACUCGCUGUGAAGAUGCAGUGUACCCGCGGCAAGACGGAAAGACCCCGUGAACCUUUACUAUAGCUUGACACUGAACAUUGAGCCUUGAUGUGUAGGAUAGGUGGGAGGCUUAGAAGUGUGGACGCCAGUCUGCAUGGAGCCGACCUUGAAAUACCACCCUUUAAUGUUUGAUGUUCUAACGUUGACCCGUAAUCCGGGUUGCGGACAGUGUCUGGUGGGUAGUUUGACUGGGGCGGUCUCCUCCUAAAGAGUAACGGAGGAGCACGAAGGUUGGCUAAUCCUGGUCGGACAUCAGGAGGUUAGUGCAAUGGCAUAAGCCAGCUUGACUGCGAGCGUGACGGCGCGAGCAGGUGCGAAAGCAGGUCAUAGUGAUCCGGUGGUUCUGAAUGGAAGGGCCAUCGCUCAACGGAUAAAAGGUACUCCGGGGAUAACAGGCUGAUACCGCCCAAGAGUUCAUAUCGACGGCGGUGUUUGGCACCUCGAUGUCGGCUCAUCACAUCCUGGGGCUGAAGUAGGUCCCAAGGGUAUGGCUGUUCGCCAUUUAAAGUGGUACGCGAGCUGGGUUUAGAACGUCGUGAGACAGUUCGGUCCCUAUCUGCCGUGGGCGCUGGAGAACUGAGGGGGGCUGCUCCUAGUACGAGAGGACCGGAGUGGACGCAUCACUGGUGUUCGGGUUGUCAUGCCAAUGGCACUGCCCGGUAGCUAAAUGCGGAAGAGAUAAGUGCUGAAAGCAUCUAAGCACGAAACUUGCCCCGAGAUGAGUUCUCCCUGAC